rnacentral:rRNA from 1 species
GCCUACGGGGGGCAGCAGUGGGGAAUAUUGCACAAUGGGGGGAACCCUGAUGCAGCAAUGCCGCGUGGGUGAAGAAGCACUCCGGUGCGUAAAGCCCUGUCAGCAGGGAAGAAAAUGACAGUACCUGGACAAGAAGCCCCGGCUAACUACGUGCCAGCAGCCGCGGUAAUACGUAGGGGGCAAGCGUUAUCCGGAUUUAUUGGGUGUAAAGGGUGCGUAGACGGGAAAUUAAGUUAGUUGUGAAAUCCCUCGGCUUAACUGAGGAACUGCAACUAAAACUGGUUUUCUUGAGUACUGGAGAGGAA